rnacentral:rRNA from 1 species
GAAAGAAUGAGAUUGAUAUUACCAUUGUGCGUUUUCCAAAGAUUCUUCACUACACAAAAACCUCGCAUAUGUCUCGCUAAAUUCUUCUUAUUCUUCAGUCCUCGCUUGAGUCGGAAAAAGUCUUUCAGCAAUGAAAACUUGGAUUCACACAUGUUUUUACCAAAUGAUACUGCUUGGCCAAGAAAGCAUUGAGUUAUUCAUCUUGGGGGACCUGCUUUUGUCAAGAGUUGGUUGAGGGGUGUCCCCUCUUUAAAGGAUAAUGCGGUUUUUGGAAAGUUUCAAUACUUUUAGUUAACAUUAUCAAG